GGCCACUUAGCUCAGUUGGUUAGAGCGUAUGCUUAACACUCAGAGAGUUUACGCAUAAGGUCGGCGGUUCGACCCCGCCAGAGGUCA
rnacentral:tRNA from 2 species